AACAGAAACCACAACAACCCUGUUAAGGCAGGACUGAGAGCCCAGACUCGUUAGGAAUGAAGGUUUGGGUCACCCCACCUGGCAAGGAACCAUGACCGGCUCAGCAGUGAUGAAGCAACUGCCAUUGUGGAGAGGCCCAUGGGGCCAGGAGCUGAGGAGCUGAGGUCCUCCAGUCCAACAGUCUGCAGGGAGCUGAAUUCUGCCAGAACCAUGUGAGUUAGGAAGCAGAUCCUUCCCCGGUGGUGCUUUCAGGCUCUGAGGACCGGCGGCUGAGAUUAAACAACUUAUUACACAAAGAACCAUUUAAUUGCAAGCACAAUCACGCUUAGUGGAGAAGGAGAGAACGGAGCACGGUUUAAGAUGAUCUCCUCACCAGUUCUGCAAGCUGGGGAAACUGAGGCCCAGAAAAGAGACAUUCCCAGUGUCACGCAGUGCUGGGUUCCAGCUGGGCAGUGCUGGAAUCAAACCCCGGUCAACAGGGAGAGUCAGCUGCAGUUUGUCAGUGGAACAGCCUGAGCCGUGCGGCCGCGUUUCGCCAGAAAAUCACUCCCUGCUCAUCAUAACCGGCACCUCUCCAUGUCGGCCACACGAGGGCAGCAGCGCCCCGGCCAUCGCCGGGCUUCGCACUGAGGCUUCUUCCAUCCCUGCUGAGAACGACUGGGCGGUUGCAGCCAGCAAGGCUCAGAGGAGGAAGGGGCCACGUCGGGGACCUCUAGGGUCUGCGAGGGGCCCAGGCUGUGUCCUGCCCCCUCCGCUGCCUUGGUGCAUGAAAGACUCCACUUCUUCUGUGAAAUGGAGGCUUGUGUCCCCACCCAGGCAGCCCAGGCUCCGGAUAACAUCAAGUGCCUCUGCCAGGCUGGGGUGCGGCGAAUAAUCAAAAGAAGCACGGAACCACUGACCAGGUCCAAGUCUCCAUUUCACAGAAGUGGAGGCUUCAUGGUAUCACUGCCUCCGUGCAGAAGAAAAGGAGACUCCAGAGGCUGACGCAAUUUGCCUGAGGUAGACGCAGAGUCAGACUCAGAGGCCGUAUUGGUUCGUCCCACCGUCUUCCAGAGAGAAUGGGCUGCCUCCUGGAGCCCUGACCCACCCACGACAGCCCCCAGGAUGUCCUACAGCCAGUUGCAAACUCAGUUUGUCCAAAGCCAUUGCCCUUCCCUCUCUGUCUUCUGUCAGUGGGAGGCACCACUGCACAGAGACCCCCAGCCUGAAACCUGGCAUCUCCCAAAACUUCUCUGAGCUCCUUAACCCCACAUCUCCCAUCCAACUCAUCACCAAACUCUGUGGAUUCUCCCCAGGCCCGUUUUUUAAGAUGACAAAAAUUGCCUUGAACUACAUCUGGGCUGUGAUUUCGGAUUGGGACACACACUCUUCAGUUUGCUACAGGCUUCACCGCUCCCUGCUGCAUCCCCAGCUCUGGGGGCCCAGGUCAGCUGCUGUCGAGCACUGGGCUUCACUGAUGUGCUUUUUACAGCGAGGGAGUAUUUCCUUGCCCCAUCAAGUGUGCAGGAAAGAAAGCUGGGCAGAGAAGUCUGCCUAUUUGAAGAAAAAAAAUCAGAAACAAUUUUCUUCAGGUGACAGAAGGCAAUUUUUAAGAAGCAUGCAACCAAAAUGCAUUAUAUGUAAACUGUGUAAUAUCUAAUAUUUUUUACGCUCAGCCCACGUUAUACAUUUUUGCCACCUGUCUGGCCACUGUAGGCUUUGGAGGUUGCAACCCCCAGGUGAUAAUAAUCACAGAAGAGACUUACAGUGAGAUAGCGAGAUGGGGGUGGGUGUGGGCAGAGGGAGAGGAAGAGUCAAGCCAUUUAGAUAACUUGGGUUUCCUCUCCAGGCCCCAAAAAGCAGGAAGGGGGCGCGUAGAGUACUACCUCCUAUCCUAUUUUGUCCAAAGCCAGAUUCAUAAUCAUUGCCACUUCCAUGCACACCCUUCUCAGUUUCCCACCCGAUUCCCAUAGACGGGGCCCCUCCACUAUCUCCUGCCCACAGUAUAAGUCGUAAAGUCUCCCAAACCUCAACCAGGUGAACAAUAGUGCCUGAUGUCACCCAGGUCCUAUUGCAAUGAUUAUGUGUUUUUUCUUUAAGCUGUUAAUGGAAUGAAUUAUAUUAAUUAAUUUCCUAAUAAUAGGAAUUGCAUUCAUAAGAUAAACAUAACUUCAUCAUAAUAUGCUGGGGUUUUUUGUUUUUGUUUUUUUUUUCUUUGAGAUGGAGUCUCACUCUGUAGCCCAGGCUGGAGUGCAGUGGCACGAUCUCGGCUCACUGCAACCUCUGCCUCCAGGGUCCAAGAGAUUCUCCUGCCUCAGUCUCCCAAGUAGCUGGGACUACAGGCGCCUGCCACCACACCUGGCUAAUUUUUUGUAUUUUUAGUAGAGACGGGUUUUACCAUGUUGCCCAGGUGGUCUCAAUCUCCUGAGCUCGGGCAAUUCACCUGCCUCGGCCUCCCAAAGUGCUGGGAUUAUAGGCGUGAGCCACUGCACCCGGCCUGUACUGUAUUUUUUAUUAUUAUUGCUGAAUUCACUGUGCUAAUAAUUUUCAAGAAUUCUUGGAAUCUAUGCUCAUGGGUAAAAUUGACUUGAAAGUUUUCUUUAUUGUACUGUCAUCAUCUGAUUAGCCAGCUUAUGCUAACCGAAUAAGGUAAACUGGUAAGUGUUGACUGUGUUUCUCCACUGUGGAGUAGAAAUUUGGGUAAGCUUGAACUGAUUUGUUCUUUGACUGUUUAGCCAAAUUAGGAUUUGGUUCAUCCCACCAUCUUCCAGAGAGAGCUGGGCUAUUAAUUUGGUGAAUUCCAAAUUCACAUAUCUGGAAUUGUCAUCUGGGACAGACGUUUUCUUUAUAGGAAGAUUUUAAACUACUAAAUUAAUGUAUUAAGUGAUUAUAGGACCUUUCAGGUUUUCUGUUUUUUCUUGAGUCAACUUCAGUAAAUUGUAUUUUUCUAGGAAUUUGGCAAUUUUGUUUAAGACUUCUUAUGUAUUGGCAUACAGUCACUUAUAACAGUCUUGUGAUAUUUAAUAUUAUUCAUUUACUCUAUGAAAAAUCUAGAAUUAUGUCCCUUCUUUCAUCCCUAGUAUUGUUUAUCUGUGCUCUCUCUUAUGUCUUAAACUUGUAAGAGAUUUUUAUAAUUUUUUAGUCCUUUCAAAAAAUAAUAUUUUGUCUUUGAUUCUCUUCCCUACUUAGGUUUGUUUUCCGGUUUUUUUGUUUGUUUGUUUGUUUUUUGUUUUUUUGUGUGAUGGCAUCUCACUCUGUUGCCCAAGCUGGAGUACAGUGGUGUGAUCUCAGCUCACUGCAGCCUCCCAACUCCUGGGUUCAAGUGAUUCUCCUGCCUCAGCCUCCCGAGUAGCUGGGACUACAGGUGCCCACCACCACGCCUGGCUUAUUUUUGUAUUUUUUAGCAGAGACAGGGUUUUGCCAUGUUGGCCAAGCUGGUCUUGAACUCCUGGUCUCAAGUGAUCCACCUGCCUCGGCCUCUCAAAGUGCGGGAUUACAGGUGUAAGCCACCAUUCCCAACCAUUUAGGUUUGUUUUCUACGUCAUUAAUUUCUGUGCUUUUUUUUUAGAUGGAGUCUCGCUCUGUCACCCAGGCUGGAGUGCAGUGGCAUGAUCUCGGCUCACUGCAAGCUCCACCUCCCAGGUUUAUGCCAUUCUCCCGCCUCAGCCUCCUGAGUAGCUGGGACUACAGGUGCACACCACCAUGCCUGGCUAAUUUUUUUGUAUUUUUAGUAGAGACGGGGUUUCACCUGUGUUAACCAGGAUGGUCUCAAUCUCCUGACCUCAUGAUCUGCCCACCUUGGCCUCCCAAACUGCUGGGAUUAUAGACAUGAGCCACCACGCCUGGCCCUAAUUUCUGUUCUUAACAUUUGAUUCCUUUUAAUAUCUUGGGGUUUAUUCUGCUGUUCUUAUUUUAACUUUUAAGUCAGAUGCUUAGUUCGUUCAUUUGAAGCAUUUCUUUUUUCUUCUUCUUUUGUUUUAUUUUUGAGACAGAGUCUUUCUCUUUUGCCCAUGCUGGAGUGCAGUGGCACCAUCUCAGCUCACUGUAACUUUCACCUCCUGGGCUCAAGCAAUCCUCCUGCCUCAGCCUCCAAAGUAACUGGGACUACAGGUGUGCACCACCAUGCCCAGCUAAUUCUUGUAUUUUUUGUAGAGACAUGGUUUUGCCAGGUUGCCCAGGCUGGUCUCGAACUCCUGGGCUCAAGCAAUCCACCCACCUCGGCCUCUCAAAGUUCUGAGAUUACAGACGUGAGCCACCACACCUGGGCCAUGAAGCAUUUCUUAUUUGCCAAUACAAGCAUUUAAGAUUAUAAACACUCCUCUAAAUACUGCUUUGGUUGGAUCUCACAAGUCGUGAUGCAAAACAUUUUUGUGAAUGCUCAAUUCUAAGUAUUUUCUAAUUUUAGUUGUGAUUUCGUUUUUGGACCGCGAGUUGUUUGGAUGUACUGUUUUUCCUAAAGUACAGGCAUUUGCUUGUUGUCUUUUUGGUUAUUAACAUCUAACUUGUUUAGAUUGUGAUCAGAGAAUAUAGUCUGUGUACACAUUGUGGUGGAAGCUAUGACUACAGCACAGCUUCCUCUUCCGGAACGAAGGACUUAGUCCCCCAGCUGCUGCGAGAGCUGCUGGAGGAUGGCCCCCAGCUGUCUGCUCUCUUAGGAAGUUAUGUGGGCUGAGGAAAUUGACUUGCCCAGUCAAGACCAUGCCUCCUUCAAUGAGCAGCCUGCAUGCAAUGGCUGCUCAGGGUGAGAAUGUAAAGGCCUGGUUCCUUACCAACUCACACCCUUCUGAAGGACUACCCAGCUCCAGCACUCUCUGCGGAGCUGGCAGAGGCUUCCGUGGGUAUUGCAUUGCUGCUCCACCUCUCCAUCUGUGCAGACCUGUCUCAUCCCAUGCAUUCCACAAGUGCUGAUCCAAGGAAUGUUCCCAAAUAAAAUUCCUGCACCCCAAUCCCCAUCUCAGAGCCUGACUCCCAGGAGAUCCGACCUACCAGCCUGAUCUUGGACGUGCAUUGAGGUUAGCUUUAUAGUCUAUGAUACUUUCCAAAUGUCCCAUGCAUGCUUGAAAAGAAUGUGUUCUCCCCCAUUUCGGGGUUUCAUAUGCUACAUGUUGAUUAUAUGAAACUUGUCAUUGUGUUCCUCAAAUCUUUGAUUUCUUCACCAAAAUGGCCUAAAAAUAUCCCAUCCUAAAGGUGGAGAUAUCUAUUCUUGUCCCUUCCAUUUUUGCUUUAUAUUUUUUGCAGCUAUGAUGAUAUUAUAUAUAAAUUGAGAACUGGUACAGCUUCCUGGUGAAUUGAGCCUUCCACCAUUAUCUAGUGACUCUGGAUCACUAGAUAAUGGAGUGCAAUGGCACGAUCUCAGCUCACUGCAACCUCCACCCCCUGGGUUCAAGCGAUUCUCUUGCCUAAGCCUCCCGAGUAGCUGGGAUUACAGGUGUGCACCACCACACCUGGCUAAUUUUUUGUCUCUUUAGUAAAGACGGGGUUUCUCCAUGUUUUUUAGGCUGGUCUCGAACUCCCAACCUCAGGUGAUCCACCUGCCUCAAUCUCCCAAAGUGCUGGGAUUACAGACGUGAGCCACUGUGCCCGGCCACAUAUUUUUUCUAUACUUGGACUUUCAACAGUUCUUGGUUCCUAUGUUUGAGGUAUGGGAUUAUGCUCUCUUGUAAACAGAACAUAAUCUCUGUUUUUAAAAUUCAUUCAGACAGUCAUCUUUCAACUAAAGUGUUUAGUCCUUUAAUAUGAAUUACUGACAACAUAAAUGUAGAUUAAUUUCCAUGGUCUCAUAAUGUAUUUUCUAUUCAUUCUAUAUUUCCUACCCUCAGCCCCCUUUCUAAUCUUCCUUUGUAUCAUUUGAGAUUUUUAUCUUCUUUUUCUUAUCCUAUUUUUUCUUUCUAAUUAUUUAGAAGUUAUCAGCUCUAUGACUAGUUUUUAGUGCUUACUCUAGCUAUCUUAACACUGAGCACUUAACAAAGUCUAAACUUAAUAUAUUUGCCUUCUCCCCAAAUAAUGGAAAGACAUUCACAACUUGAAUUUUGAGCAUCCGUCCCAUAUUAUAUGGUAUUGUCCAGUAUUUUAAUACUAGCCCAUUUUUCCUACCAUAAGUUAGGCAUUAUUAUCGUGGAGUCCUAUACUCCGUUGUUGUUUAGUUUUCCAUCAAAUGUUUCCAACAUAUGUGCCCAUUGUUCCUUCUUGUAUGCCUUGCCUUUUCUCUGGAAUAAUUUUGAUUCUGUCUGAACUACAUUACAUUUAAAUGUGUCCUUAGUGAAGAUCUUUUGGAGGUAAAAUCUCACCAUUUCUUUUUGUCUGAAUAUGUCUUCAUUUCACCCUCAGUUCAGUAGGAUAGUAAAGAGUUCUAAGUUGACCGUUGUUUUUUUUCCAGCACAUGAAAGAUAUAAUUCCACUGUCUCCUGGUUUCCAUUGAGGAUAGUGAUACAUCAGCUGUAAAUGAUCCUUUAGAGUUUUUUUGUUUGUUUGCUUGUCUUGUUUUGU